rnacentral:misc_RNA from 1 species
GAUGAAGAACGUAGCGAAAUGCGAUAAGUAGUGUGAAUUGCAGAAUUCAGUGAAUCAUCGAAUCUUUGAACGCACAUUGCGCCCCUUGGUAUUCCAUGGGGCAUGCCUGUUCGAGCGUCAUUUGUACCUUCAAGCUUUGCUUGGUGUUGGGUGUUUGUCUCGCCUUUGCGUGUAGACUCGCCUUAAAAUAAUUGGCAGCCGGCGUAUUGAUUUCGGAGCGCAGUACAUCUCGCGCUUUGCACUCAUAACGACAGCGUCCAAAAGUACAUUUUACACUCUUGACCUCGGAUCAGGUAGGGAUACCCGCUGAACUUAAGCAUAUCAAUAAGCGGAGAA